CUCACAGAGCAAGCGCAGACUAUUUUGAACCGAGAGGUUGAAUUUCGGGUUUAACCGGGCUCCUCCGACAGCCUGUCAAGAAUGCUUGCUGGAGCGCUGGGACGCGGCCGCGGACCUAGUGUGUGACCGUCUUACCGAGUCGCAGGUAGGACUUCACCAGACUCCAGAUGCUGCGAUAAAGCAGUGCUUGACAGGAACCAAGCAGGACAGCAGAUUCCACCAUUUCCUGGUCCUCUCUUAUCAGGACUUUAGGCCCAUUUUGGCCAUCAUCUCUUCAUAGAUCGUCCAUGCCAUUGCUGCCAUCAGAGUUCUGCGGAGGGCCCGGGGGACACUGCCUUGAAAGAAGCCACGCAAUCCAUGGUCCUAUGAUGAAAAUAAAUGUCAAAACUCCAGAAAUAAAGUAGUAAUAUAAUUAA